CAACAUGGUGAAAGGGGUCGGAAACUCUCUUCCAGCUCCUCCAGGCUCAUUUUCAUCAUGGCUACUCAGGAGGGAGGAAUGAACAAUAAGGAGGCACAAUGAACCAGAAAUUGAGUAUACAUGUUGAAUUUAAUCCUCACCAUGACCUUGUCAGGUUUGUGCUUUGAAGAUUCUGAAUGGUGUGCAUGAAGUGUCUCCGUGAAAGAGAAGACUCAACUGACUAGAACAUUCAUUGCCCUACUUCUUUUAAACAAA